UACCAGCACCCCGAGUGGUCGGGACGAUUAUUGGGCCUAAAGCAUCCGUAGCCGGUUUUACAAGUCCUCCGUUAAAUCCAGCUGCUUAACAGAUGGGCUGCGGAGGAUACUAUAAGACUAGGAGGCAGGAGAGGCAAGCGGUACUCAGUGGGUAGGGGUAAAAUCCGUUGAUCCAUUGAAGACCACCAGUGGCGAAGGCAGCUCUCUGGGACGGUACUGACGCUGAGACGCGAAAGCGUGGGGAGCGAACAGG
rnacentral:rRNA from 1 species